rnacentral:rRNA from 1 species
AGUGAACGCUGGCGGUAGGCCUAACACAUGCAAGUCGAACGGCAGCACAGUAAGAGCUUGCUCUUACGGGUGGCGAGUGGCGGACGGGUGAGGAAUACAUCGGAAUCUACUUUUUCGUGGGGGAUAACGUAGGGAAACUUACGCUAAUACCGCAUACGACCUACGGGUGAAAGCAGGGGAUCUUCGGACCUUGCGCGAUUGAAUGAGCCGAUGUCGGAUUAGCUAGUUGGCGGGGGAAAGGCCCACCAAGGCGACGAUCCGUAGCUGGUCUGAGAGGAUGAUCAGCCACACUGGAACGGAGACACGGUCCAGACUCCUACGGGAGGCAGCAGUGGGGAAUAUUGGACAAUGGGCGCAAGCCUGAUCCAGCCAUACCGCGUGGGUGAAGAAGGCCUUCGGGUUGUAAAGCCCUUUUGUUGGGAAAGAAAAGCAGCAGGUUAAUACCCCGCUGUUCUGACGGUACCCAAACAAUAAGCACCGGCUAACUUCGUG